GUGGGGAAUCUUCCGCAAUGGACGAAAGUCUGACGGAGCAACGCCGCGUGAGUGAUGAAGGUCUUCGGAUUGUAAAGCUCUGUUAAUCGGGACGAAAGAGCCUAGUGUGAAUAAUGCUAGGAAGUGACGGUACCGGAAUAGAAAGCCACGGCUAACUACGUGCCAGCAGCCGCGGUAAUACGUAGGUGGCAAGCGUUGUCCGGAAUUAUUGGGCGUAAAGCGCGCGCAGGCGGAUCUGCCAGUCUGUCUUAAAAGUUCGGGGCUUAACCCCGUGAUGGGAUGGAAACUACAGAUCUAGAGUAUCGGAGAGUAAAGUGGAAUUCCUAGUGUAGCGGUGAAAUGCGUAGAUAUUAGUAAGAACACCAGUGGCGAAGGCGACUUUCUGGACGAAAACUGACGCUGAGGCGCGAAAGCCAGGGGAGCGAACGGGAUUAGAAACCCGGGUAGUCC
rnacentral:rRNA from 1 species